rnacentral:lncRNA from 1 species
GAUACUUCCUAAUCACUCCUUUACUGACAAUGUGCAAGAAUUCACACAGAGCUGGCAGGUGAACAAGUGCAGUCUCAUGCAGAAGAAAGUGGAGCCGUGUACCACUACAGCUAAGCAAAAAGUCUGUAAAGUGCUUUUUGAAGAAGCUCACUCGCUUCUUAGGAACUGCUUCAAAGUUGUGGACCCUGAACCAUUCUACAGCAUGUGUAUGCAUGACACCUGUGAAUCAAAUGAGUUGAAAGCUGCCUGCAGCUUAGCAGCAGCAUUUGUUCACUUGUGCAACCGAAAUUUUGUCCCUGUGGAAAUUCC